AUUUUGUUUUAUGAUCUGCUCGUUCUGUGGAAUUUAUAGAAACGGCUGCCGCCAAUUUUGACGGACUUUAUUAAUAAAGUUGAGGCAGAAAAAAUAAGAAAUAUACGUAAUUUCUUGCAUAUGUUUUGAGGUUGAAACAAUCCGUCGAUAUUACGCGAGGUAAAUCUUACACGAUGAGACUGACUUGAGAGAAUGUCUGCAUCAUCGUGAGAAAAGAUUUUAAGCGAAAAAAGUAGUAUUUACUAUACCCAUUGAUUCUACAUUUUAUUUUUCAAUAAUGUUGCACAUGCGGCUAAAUGCAACGGCGGCGGAGGCGGAUCUCUAAUGGAAACGGAUGGGAUGGAAGCGUCGGGCGAGAGAAACGAAAGUUUCUUGAAAACAUUGUUAUUAAUUCCCCACACUGAGGUAACCACAUUUCUCAACGCAAUCAACGCAGUCGAUAUUCCACGGUGUAACGCUGCUUUCCACACGUGAUACACCUCUCGGCGUUUAUUAAUCUCGUUAACGCGGUACCUAAAUUCGGGCACCCUAACAUUAUGUUAUAUAAGCCAUAAAAAGAUCCACGAGUCCAAAUCAACGAAGGACACUUCCGUAUGCUUCCUUGUUAGGUACAUAAUCGAACAAUGAAGCUGAAAUGUCUGAAACGUAAAUGAAAAGCGGGUUGGAAAAAGCGGCAUGCAUGUGUGUGUGUCAUUGUUCUUCCUCUUUUUCACCGAGUAAUAUCAAAUUUUACAGGAAUAGUUCGAAUGGUUGGACUUUCAAAAAGGAAGAGUAACGACAGGAUUAAAGAAACUGACACACUCGCGAAAACACAGCAGACCUCUCGAGCAUCAAUGAAACUUCAAUCGAAUCAAUUAACACGCCCGUCGGGAUUCACCACCUCGCGGCGAAAGGAGCUCCGGCGAAAGGAUGAGGGCGUGAGGGAGGAAGAAGGAGAUGGUUGAAUGCGACGGAGGCGGCGGAGGCGGAUUUCCAAUGGAAACGGACAGGACGGAAGCGUUGGGCGAGAAAAAAACGCGGCAGAUUCUUUAAAACAUUGUUAUUAAUUGUCUACAUGUGUAGAGAUAACCACAUUUCCCAGCGCAAUCAGUCGAUACUCUCACGUGUAACGCUGUUCCCACACACAACACACUUCACGGCGUUUAUUAAUCCUGUCGUCGUUCCUACCGCAUACGCACAUA